rnacentral:rRNA from 1 species
AGAGCGAACGCUGGCGGCAGGCCUAAUACAUGCAAGUCGAACGGAUCCUUCGGGAUUAGUGGCGGACGGGUGAGUAACACGUGGGAACGUACCCUUUGGUUCGGAACAACUCAGGGAAACUUGAGCUAAUACCGAAUGUGCCCUUCGGGGAAAAGAUUUAUCGCCAUUGGAGCGGCCCGCGUCUGAUUAGCUAGUUGGUAGGGUAAAGGCCUACCAAGGCUACGAUCAGUAGCUGGUCUGAGAGGAUGAUCAGCCACACUGGGACUGAGACACGGCCCAGACUCCUACGGGAGGCAGCAGUAGGGAAUCUUGCGCAAUGGGCGAAAGCCUGACGCAGCCAUGCCGCGUGAAUGAUGAAGGUCUUAGGAUUGUAAAAUUCUUUCAGCGGGGACGAUAAUGACGGUACCCGCAGAAGAACGCCCGGCUAACUUCGUGCCAGCAGUCGC